rnacentral:rRNA from 1 species
GACGAACGCUUGCGGCGUGCUUAACACAUGCAAGUCGAACGGAAAGGCCCUGCUUUUGUGGGGUGCUCGAGUGGCGAACGGGUGAGUAACACGUGAGUAACCUGCCCUUGACUUUGGGAUAACUUCAGGAAACUGGGGCUAAUACCGGAUAGGAGCUCCUGCUGCAUGGUGGGGGUUGGAAAGUUUCGACGGUUGGGGAUGGACUCGCGGCUUAUCAGCUUGUUGGUGGGGUAGUGGCUUACCAAGGCUUUGACGGGUAGCCGGCCUGAGAGGGUGACCGGCCACAUUGGGACUGAGAUACGGCCCAGACUCCUACGGGAGGCAGCAGUGGGGAAUAUUGCACAAUGGGCGGAAGCCUGAUGCAGCAACGCCGCGUGCGGGAUGACGGCCUUCGGGUUGUAAACCGCUUUCGCCUGUGACGAAGCGUGAGUGACGGUAAUGGGUAAAGAAGCACCGGCUAACUACGUGCCAGCAGCCGCGGUGAUACGUAGGGUGCGAGCGUUGUCCGGAUUUAUUGGGCGUAAAGGGCUCGUAGGUGGUUGAUCGCGUCGGAAGUGUAAUCUUGGGGCUUAACCCUGAGCGUGCUUUCGAUACGGGUUGACUUGAGGAAGGUAGGGGAGAAUGGAAUUCCUGGUGGAGCGGUGGAAUGCGCAGAUAUCAGGAGGAACACCAGUGGCGAAGGCGGUUCUCUGGGCCUUUCCUGACGCUGAGGAGCGAAAGCGUGGGGAGCGAACAGGCUUAGAUACCCUGGUAGUCCACGCUGUAAACGGUGGGUACUAGGUGUGGGGUCCAUUCCACGGGUUCCGUGCCGUAGCUAACGCUUUAAGUACCCCGCCUGGGGAGUACGGCCGCAAGGCUAAAACUCAAAGGAAUUGACGGGGCCCCGCACAAGCGGCGGAGCAUGCGGAUUAAUUCGAUGCAACGCGUAGAACCUUACCUGGGUUUGACAUGGAUCGGGAGCGCUCAGAGAUGGGUGUGCCUCUUUUGGGGUCGGUUCACAGGUGGUGCAUGGCUGUCGUCAGCUCGUGUCGUGAGAUGUUGGGUUAAGUCCCGCAACGAGCGCAACCCUUGUUCACUGUUGCCAGCACGUUAUGGUGGGGACUCAGUGGAGACCGCCGGGGUCAACUCGGAGGAAGGUGGGGAUGACGUCAAGUCAUCAUGCCCCUUAUGUCCAGGGCUUCACGCAUGCUACAAUGGCUGGUACAGAGAGUGGCGAGCCUGUGAGGGUGAGCGAAUCUCGGAAAGCCGGUCUCAGUUCGGAUUGGGGUCUGCAACUCGACCUCAUGAAGUCGGAGUCGCUAGUAAUCGCAGAUCAGCAACGCUGCGGUGAAUACGUUCCCGGG